AGAGUUUGAUCAUGGCUCAGGACGAACGCUGGCGGCGCGCUUAACACAUGCAAGUCGAGCGAGAACCCAGGCUUCGGCCUGGGGGAAAGCGGCGAACGGGUGAGUAACACGUGAGUAAUCUGCCCUCGACAUCGGGAUAGCCCGGGGAAACCCGGAUUAAUACCGAAUGGCCCAUCAGCUUCUCGAAGCGGAUGGAAAAGGUAGCUUUGGCCUCCGGUCGAGGAGGAGCUCGCGGCGGAUUAGCUUGUUGGUGAGGUAACGGCUCACCAAGGCUCCGAUCCGUAGCUGGUCUGAGAGGACGAUCAGCCACACUGGGACUGAGACACGGCCCAGACUCCUACGGGAGGCAGCAGUGGGGAAUCUUGCGCAAUGGGCGAAAGCCUGACGCAGCGACGCCGCGUGAGGGAAGAAGGCCUUCGGGUUGUAAACCUCUUUCAGGAGGGACGAAGCCACUCGGGUUAAUAGCCCAGAGGGUGACGGUACCUCCAGAAGAAGCCCCGGCUAACUACGUGCCAGCAGCCGCGGUA
rnacentral:rRNA from 1 species